UACGUAGGGUGCGAGCGUUAAUCGGAAUUACUGGGCGUAAAGCGUGCGCAGGCGGUUUUGUAAGCCAGAUGUGAAAGCCCCGGGCUCAACCUGGGAAUGGCAUUUGGGACUGCAAGGCUUGGAGUGCGGCAGAGGAGACGUGGAAUUCCUGGUGUAGCAGUGAAAUGCGUAGAUAUCAGGAGGAAUACCGAUGGCGAAGGCAGGUCUCGUGG
rnacentral:rRNA from 1 species